CUUACGCUCUUCCUCCGCCGUGGUCUUCCGAAGACGUCCGGGUGACUUGCGUGUUUCGGUUGUCCGAAGCGCGUUUGCCACAAAUGUGCGCGAUCGUUCCAUCACGAACUUGAUCGUUCUGCGCUUACCCAGUCCGCAAAAAGCCGAAGUUUUGUAUGGGAUCGUGUCGUACACAUACCCAAGUAGCAGAGCCGAAGUUGUUGAGAGAUUUUUCUGGGUGCCAAAGGAGGCCCUGUCUUCUUUCUCUAGAUUUUGGACGGCAAACCGCCGCGCGUGUAGAGGUGUGUGCGUGUGACGAAAAAUGAUGGAGGAAAAAGGGGGAAGCGGGGUCUGAAGUCUUUCGUUCGUCACACACACAUGCAUCUACCAGCGGAUUGCGCUGGACCGAGUCCACCCAUCUCUCUCGAUCAACCAUGAUUUUUCUGCUAUCGCGCUCAUCCGAGUGUGAGGCAUCCUCAGUCUGUCCAGCACUUUCCCUGUGGAAAGAUGUACUGAAGUGAGGUGCGAUUUCUUGUGCGACGUUCUUUCCUCGUCUACGUUUUGGGCCGUGUUCAGUUCAGUUAUUGAAUGAUUUAUCCUAGCAAAUUGUUGAGUUACAGGUGUGUGCGCUAUUUAUCAAAGACUACAUGCUGGCCUCGUCAACAAUGUUCAAAAUGAGCGACGGAAAGAAAACGUUUUUCAGUUUUAAAAUAUUAAGCGUUCAGCACAAACCAACGCACUGGAUUACGCCAAGAACAUGUCGAAACGCGCGCAGCCCAGCGUCAUUACUUAACAGAAGCCGGUUCAAAACGCGCAGCUCAUGUUCAUGACGUCAUCACUAAACUGAAGCCAGUGGAACACGCGCCGCACGGAUGGAACCCCGAGCGCGGUAGGAAGAAGGAAGAACAAGAGGAGGAUGAACGGUAAAUUUGGAACGGGGAAAGCGUUCUGCCGACACAGCGGGAGUAUGCCAAAACACAUGUGGGAAGG